rnacentral:rRNA from 1 species
GCCCUUUAACCCUAGCAGGACCAAGGAGCCGGUAUCAGGCACAAUUAUCAGCCCAAAACACCUAGCUAUGCCACACCCACAAGGGACCACAGCAGUAAUUAACCUUGAACAUAAGCGCCAGCUUGAUUCAGUUAAAGUAAAAAGGGCCGGCAAAUGUGGUGCCAGCCGCCGCGGUUAUACCAUCUGACCCAAAUUGACCUCUUACGGCGUAAAGCGUGAUUAAUUUUUUCUCCUCACUGUAGUUAAACUAACACUAAGCCGUAAAACACUUUUAGUUAGGAAACCCAAAAACGAAAGUUACUACAUACAAAACAAUUUGAAUUCACUAAAGUUGAGGCACAAACUAGGAUUAGAUACCCUACUAUGCUUAACCUUAAACUCUUAACUUACACCACCUAUCGCCAGGGAACUACGAGCAAAGCUUAAAACCCAAAGGACUUGACGGUACCCCAUACCCCCCUAGAGGAGCCUGUCCUUUAAAUCGAUAAUCCACGUUGAACCUCACCACUUCUAGCCAUCAGUCUGUAUACCUCCGUCGCCAGCUUACCGCAUGAGUGAUUAAAAGUAAGCUUAAUGAACUAACUUCAAUACGUCAGGUCAAGGUGCAACUUAUGAAAUGGGAAGAGAUGGGCUACACUUUCUAAUUUAGAACAAACGAAAAACUAACUGAAAAACAGCUAGAAGGCGGAUUUAGAAGUAAAAAGAAAUCAGAAAACUCUUUUUAACCCGGCACUGGGGUGUGUACACACCGCCCGUCACCCUCUUCGCAAUAAAAAAAUAGUUCUUAACAUAUAUAAAAAAGUAGAAGAGGUAAGUCGUAA